CACCUACCAAGCAUCUCAUAAAUGCUUCACAAUUUACAAGGUCUGCUCUCUCACACACUUUACAAAGUCAGUUGCUGUCUCUCACACUUCACAAAGCUACUUCAGUGAACUUUUUUUUCAAAGAGAAAAACUGAAAAGGCUCCAACAUUUUUCAAGGAGACAAAUUAAAAAGGCCAAACAAAUAUAUAUAGAGUAAGAAAGAGUAGACUGAAUCAGAAAAAGCAAAGCAAUCCAACCAAAUUCUCUGUUUCUCUUUUGCUCUCUCUCUCUCAUGUAACAAAUCAAAGCUUCUCCUUGUUUUUCUAUCUUUGAAGUUAAAUCUGUGACUAUCUUUGAGAUGUGUGAAGCAAGAUCUUUAGCCCUAAAAGAGGGUUAUUGUCCAGAGAUUGAGGUCAACGUUCGAAGAUUGAUUCACCGUUUCCAGAAGUCCACUGUGAGUAACGUUAUUGUAAAGAUAUGUUCAUAUGCAUUAUGUUCCAAAUUUGAUUUGAUAAUUAUGAUUUCUGAAAUGAUAAUUGUUUACGUGAACGAAUGUCCUAUGUUUGAAAUCUAUUAUGGCAUCCAUAGAUAGUCCCAAGUCAUAGGGGACGGCAUGUUAAUAUGGGUCUAUGACAUAUAUGUGAUUAUAAGAUCUCGUUAGCCACUUGUCAAAGUGGUGAUGUGUUUAAUCGCUAUCCGAAACCAAUUACUCUAGUCGGAUGACGAUGUGAUAUGUUCUAUUGGAUGUACCAUUAUUAUGUUUGGAUAUAAGAAUGAUUAGGUUAUGAUCUGUUUUACGAUUAUGAUAUGUUCAGAAUUCGUUCACUAACCUCUUUACCUUAAUAUUAUUCACUAGGCUAUAGCUCACUAUUUGUAUAUAUAUGUAGGUGAGCAAGUGCAAGAUUAGGCCUGAGGGCUUCUGUCUAGUUCUGUUUUGUCAAGCCAACCAUUACGCCUUACAAGGAGGUUCCUGGAAAGAUGUGUUAUGAUCAAGUCUUAAACUCGUUUUGUCUUUUGUUUAUUUUAUUUACAUGGCUAAGUCCCUUUUUGUUUCAUAUGUAUAUGGUUAGUGUAAGAAUGAUGUUGAUGAUGAUGAUUAUAUGUAUAACGUUUAAAUUUGCUUUGUCCUAUAUAAGUCAGCACAGCUCAUUGGAUGAUUAUAUUAUAUUUAUGUAUUUGCUUUCGCCAGCCCCUUAUUUUGUUAAUCUGUUUCGGAGGCCGUAGGUAAUCCUAGGAUUACUAGACGAUUACAACGCUAAACCUAUAGGAGUGGGUUUGGGUCAUGACAUAAAGGGACCACCCAAUGAGGCUGUUUGGAAUAAUCGUAGGGUCUUUUUAAAUUUUUGAGACUCUUUAUAAUGCCACAAAGAGGUUUUCAGGGUCAUUGUAUAUCACUUCAAAUUGCUUCUAUGAUGAGAUGUUUGUCAUUCAAAACAAAAUUGAGCAGUUAAUGAAGAAAGAUGACACACUUUUAUCUAAUGACAGUUAAUAUGAAACCAAAAUUUGAUAAGUAUUGGGGUGAUGGAGAUAAGAUAAAUCUUCUUUUGUAUGUUGCUGUGGUACUUGACCUUAGGAAAAAAUUGAAGUAUUUAAAUUUUUAUUUCUCACAAAUUCUUAUUGAGAAAGUGGUGAAUGAGAUGAUAGGCAAGGUGAAGGAUUGUUUGACUCGUCUAUACGAGCAUUAUGCUUCACAUGAUUCAAAGAGUGGGCAAGAGCCUAAUGUGAGUGCAACUUCAGAAAUGGAGGUAAAUGAUGAUUGUGAUGAUCCACACAUGCUCAUUGCUCCUCAGUUUAAUUCAUAUUUAGAAGAGGAGUAUUCUGUUGUGUGUAAAUCAAAGAUGGAUACGUACUUUUCUAUUUUCGUAAGGGUUCUAAGGAUGAAAAUUUGGAUAUAUUGGGAUGGUAGAAGUCUAAUUCUUCAAAGUAUAAAGUUUUGUCACAAGUGGCACAUGAUGUUUUGGUAUUACUAGUCUCUACAGUUGCUUUAGAAUCAGCAUUUAGUACAGAAGAACGUACACUCAAUCCUUUUCAUAGUUCGCUUUCUCCCAUGAUGGUCGAGGCCCUUAUAUGCACACAAAAUCGGUUUCAAUCCACUAUUCCAAUUUCUCUUCGAAAGUCCAUGGAUGAUGUUGGACAAUAUGAACAAUAUGAGUCAGGAUAUGAGGAAGCAAAAAGAAUAAUGAGCCAACAACUUCUAGUUUUUGUGAAUAUGUUUCUUGUUUUUAAUUUUUAGUUUAAUGGUGGAAUAGCAGUAGUAAUGAAGUUUAACAAUGACUUCCUUUUUGUGGCAACAACAAACAUGGUUUUGAGAUGUAAUUAUAUUUUUCAGAUAUGUGUGUGCAUUGUGCAACAUAGAAGUUUUUGAGGGGUAUGUUUGCACUGUGCAACAUAGAAGUUUUGGGGGGAUGUACAUGCUAAAUACUGUUAGUUUGGUUUUUCUAGCAACUUGUGCAGAUUACAUGAACAAUGUGGUGUACUUAAUUGCUUAGGUUUAUUUUAUUAUAAGAUGUUUUGGAGGGUUAUUUUAUUACAGAAACAAUGUAAUCCCUAAACUGUUUUGGAAAGUUAUUUUAUUAAUUUUAAUUUUUAAUGUUAUGUUUUUAU